rnacentral:rRNA from 1 species
GACGAACGCUGGCGGCGUGCUUAACACAUGCAAGUCGAACGGAAAGGCCUCUUUCGGGGGGUACUCGAGUGGCGAACGGGUGAGUAACACGUGAGUAACCUGCCCUUGACUUUGGGAUAACUUCAGGAAACUGGGGCUAAUACCGGAUAGGAGCUCCUGCUGCAUGGUGGGGGUUGGAAAGUUUCGGCGGUUGGGGAUGGACUCGCGGCUUAUCAGCUUGUUGGUGGGGUAGUGGCUUACCAAGGCUUUGACGGGUAGCCGGCCUGAGAGGGUGACCGGCCACAUUGGGACUGAGAUACGGCCCAGACUCCUACGGGAGGCAGCAGUGGGGAAUAUUGCACAAUGGGUGGAAGCCGGAUGCAGCAACGCCGGGUGCGGGAAGACGGCCUUCGGGUUGUAAACCGCUUUCGCUCAUGACGAAGCUUUGUGUGACGGUAGUGGGUAAAGAAGCACCGGCUAACUACGUG